GAUGAACGCUGGCGGCGUGCUUAACACAUGCAAGUCGAACGAUGAAGCCCAGCUUGCUGGGUGGAUUAGUGGCGAACGGGUGAGUAACACGUGAGUAACCUGCCCUUAACUCUGGGAUAAGCCUGGGAAACUGGGUCUAAUACCGGACAGGAGCGUCCACCGCAUGGUGGGUGUUGGAAAGAUUUAUCGGUUUUGGAUGGACUCGCGGCCUAUCAGCUUGUUGGUGAGGUAAUGGCUCACCAAGGCGACGACGGGUAGCCGGCCUGAGAGGGUGACCGGCCACACUGGGACUGAGACACGGCCCAGACUCCUACGGGAGGCAGCAGUGGGGAAUAUUGCACAAUGGGCGAAAGCCUGAUGCAGCGACGCCGCGUGAGGGAUGACGGCCUUCGGGUUGUAAACCUCUUUCAGUAGGGAAGAAGCGAAAGUGACGGUACCUGCAGAAGAAGCACCGGCUAACUACGUG
rnacentral:rRNA from 1 species